rnacentral:sRNA from 1 species
GCCGGGUGUGGUGGUGCACAUCUGUAAUCCCAGUGGCUCGGAGGCUGAGGCAGGAUGAUUCCAAGUUCAAAGCCAGUUUUAG